UUUAAUGGAUUUAACCAAAUUUGAAGUUACAACUUGUAUUUCAAUUGAAUUUAUUCAAGAAUACACAAAUUUGGGAAAUUCCUAAACUAUUUUAAACGAAUAUUUAUUCAAUUUGAAGAAUAUAGGUUUGUAGCAAGCUUUGAACUCAACAUAACAACAUGUUUAUAUUGGGUAAAUAAAAACGUUGUUUGCUAUAGUAAUAUUUGAUUUGUUGAGAAGAAACCUGAUUAAGUAAAAUGACUUUCCAAAACCAAGUUUAUGAACUAUUUGCGACUAAAUACAGAUGAGUAAAACUUACUAAAAAUAUUCCAAUUUUUCGUUGUUUUAAUCAAAAUUUAACCAAAUUAAAUUAACUAACUUAUUUAAUAUAAGUAUUUUACAUUAUUUUAUGCGAACCAUUUUUCUGAGUGUAUGGAAUAAAACUGUUUAAACUUUGCUCUACUGAGGGAUUUACCUGGUCAUUGAAAAUAUAUUCUGAAGAAUGAGCUACUGGGUAAAACCCACCCUGUCGGCACUCUUCGCGCAAACAAGAAAUAAUUGCCAAUAGAAGUGAUGAAUUCUGCGCUUAAAAAGGGAGAAUUGAUGGCCAAAGAAGAUGGAAAUGGGAAAUUGGCAAUUGAAUUGUUACUUGGCCUGUCAAUAGUAAAACCACAUUGUUUAUAAGGAAGCUACAAAGAAAAACAUCAACAUAUGCAAAUUCCGUCAACGUGGAGCAGAUGUUAGAUCCAAAAGGUCAUUAGAUUAGAUCCAAAAGGUCAUUACCACCUCAAUCAGUUAACCCCGGUAAAAUCGUUAUAACUAUAAGGGUAGAUGCCAAUAAUAAAGCAAUUCGACGUUCUUUUGUUUUUUGUUACGCAACUGCCAAAAAAAAGCUGAAUCGUAAAACGCUAGGAAAAAACUUUCAGCGUCAAAGGCGAACGUGGUACGGUGGCCUCCUGUAAUAUUAUAUAAAUUAAAAAAAAAAUUUAAUACAUUCUUCACUUAAUAAAACCUCAAAAAUUCAUCAUAGA
rnacentral:sRNA from 1 species